AGAGUUUGAUCAUGGCUCAGAACGAACGCUGGCGGCAUGCCUAACACAUGCAAGUCGAACGAGACCUUCGGGUCUAGUGGCGCACGGGUGCGUAACGCGUGGGAAUCUGCCCUUCGGUUCGGAAUAACUCAGGGAAACUUGAGCUAAUACCGGAUAAUGACGUAAGUCCAAAGAUUUAUCGCCGAAGGAUGAGCCCGCGUAAGAUUAGCUAGUUGGUGAGGUAAAGGCUCACCAAGGCUACGAUCUUUAGCUGGUCUGAGAGGAUGAUCAGCCACACUGGGACUGAGACACGGCCCAGACUCCUACGGGAGGCAGCAGUGGGGAAUAUUGGACAAUGGGCGAAAGCCUGAUCCAGCAAUGCCGCGUGAGUGAUGAAGGCCUUAGGGUUGUAAAGCUCUUUUACCCGGGAUGAUAAUGACAGUACCGGGAGAAUAAGCUCCGGCUAACUCCGUGCCAGCAGCCGCGGUAAUACGGAGGGAGUUAGCGUUGUUCGGAAUUACUGGGCGUAAAGCGCACGUAGGCGGCUUUGUAAGUUAGAGGUGAAAGCCCGGGGCUCAACUCCGGAACUGCCUUUAAGACUGCAUCGCUUGAAUCCAGGAGAGGUGAGUGGAAUUCCGAGUGUAGAGGUGAAAUUCGUAGAUAUUCGGAAGAACACCAGUGGCGAAGGCGGCUCACUGGACUGGUAUUGACGCUGAGGUGC
rnacentral:rRNA from 1 species